AUGAAUCAAGGCACGUCCACAACCGAAGCGAGUCAAGCGACGAGUUACGGAAAGGAUCCAUUGAUAGUCGAAGGCGGACCGAUGACGCGAUCGAGGACGAAGCGAGUGAAAGAAGCGAUGGGAUUGCUAGUCAAGCAAAUGAUCGAUGAAACAAUGUUCGGGAGGUCAAAUGGAACAAGUUUCAUGUUGGGGUCGAAGGCCGAAGGAACUUGGAUCAACGAGAUAAAAGCGGACGAAGGCGGCACGGAGUUGGUCUAUGAGACCGCAGGCUCAACGGCCUAUGCGGCCGCAUAGAAGGCCACCGAAACUACAUGUGGCUGGCUGGAGUGAUCUAUGCGACCGCAUAGA
rnacentral:lncRNA from 1 species